UACGUAGGGGGCAAGCGUUAUCCGGAUUUACUGGGUGUAAAGGGAGCGUAGACGGCUGUACAAGUCUGAAGUGAAAGGCAUGGGCUCAACCUGUGGACUGCUUUGGAAACUGUGCAGCUAGAGUGUCGGAGAGGUAAGUGGAAUUCCUAGUGUAGCGGUGAAAUGCGUAGAUAUUAGGAGGAACACCAGUGGCGAAGGCGGCUUACUGGACGAUGACUGACGUUGAGGCUCGAAAGCGUGGGGAGCAAACAGG
rnacentral:rRNA from 1 species